rnacentral:rRNA from 1 species
GACGAACGCUGGCGGCGUGCUUAACACAUGCAAGUCGAACGAUGAACUUGGAGCUUGCUCUGGGGGAUUAGUGGCGAACGGGUGAGUAACACGUGAGUAACCUGCCCUGGACUCUGGGAUAACUUCGAGAAAUCGGAGCUAAUACCGGAUAGGACCUUGCACCGCAUGGUGUGGGGUGGAAAGUUUUUCGGUUUGGGAUGGACUCGCGGCCUGUCAGCUUGUUGGUGAGGUAAUGGCUCACCAAGGCGUCGACGGGUAGCCGGCCUGAGAGGGUGACCGGCCAAACUGGUACAGAGGCACGGACCAGGCUCCUACGGGAGGCAGCGGUGGGAAAGAUUGCACACUGGGCGCAAGCCUGAUGCAGCACCGCCGCGUGCGGGAUGACGUCCUUCGGGUUGUAAACCGCUUUUAGUAGGGAAGAAGCCUUCGGGUGACGGUACCUGCAGAAAAAGGACCGGCUAACUACGUGCCAGCCGCCGCCGUAAUAC